CGAGCGGAAACGAGUUGUCUGAACCUUCGGGGAACGAUAACGGCGUCGAGCGGCGGACGGGUGAGUAAUGCCUGGGAAAUUGCCCUGAUGUGGGGGAUAACCAUUGGAAACGAUGGCUAAUACCGCAUAAUAGCUUCGGCUCAAAGAGGGGGACCUUCGGGCCUCUCGCGUCAGGAUAUGCCCAGGUGGGAUUAGCUAGUUGGUGAGGUAAUGGCUCACCAAGGCGACGAUCCCUAGCUGGUCUGAGAGGAUGAUCAGCCACACUGGAACUGAGACACGGUCCAGACUCCUACGGGAGGCAGCAGUGGGGAAUAUUGCACAAUGGGCGCAAGCCUGAUGCAGCCAUGCCGCGUGUAUGAAGAAGGCCUUCGGGUUGUAAAGUACUUUCAGCAGUGAGGAAGGUGGUAGUGUUAAUAGCACUAUCAUUUGACGUUAGCUGCAGAAGAAGCACCGGCUAACUCCGUGCCAGCAGCCGCGGUAAUACGGAGGGUGCGAGCGUUAAUCGGAAUUACUGGGCGUAAAGCGCAUGCAGGUGGUUUGUUAAGUCAGAUGUGAAAGCCCGGGGCUCAACCUCGGAAUAGCAUUUGAAACUGGCAGACUAGAGUACUGUAGAGGGGGGUAGAAUUUCAGGUGUAGCGGUGAAAUGCGUAGAGAUCUGAAGGAAUACCGGUGG
rnacentral:rRNA from 1 species